rnacentral:misc_RNA from 1 species
AACGCACCUUGCGCCUUUUGGUAUUCCGAAAGGCAUGCCUGUUUGAGUGUCAUGAAAUCUCAAUCCCCUCGGGUCCCUUGACCUGGGGGUGGACUUGGACCUGGGCAUCUGCCGUCCGUCGGCUUGCCUCAAAUGACAUAGUGGGAUCAGCAUCCACGGCCUGACGUGAUAAGUUUCGUCUGGCAUGGUGUGAGGCCCGCUCAUAACCUGCCCCUUGUGGCGCUCUUUUGGACUCUGACCUCAAAUCAGGUAGGACUACCCGCUGAACUUAA